AAUCUUGCGCAAUGGGCGAAAGCCUGACGCAGCGACGCCGCGUGCGGGAAGAAGGCCUUCGGGUUGUAAACCGCUUUCAGGAGGGACGAAGCCACUCGGGUUAAUAGCCCAGAGGGUGACGGUACCUCCAGAAGAAGCCCCGGCUAACUACGUGCCAGCAGCCGCGGUAAUACGUAGGAGGCGAGCGUUAUCCGGAGUUACUGGGCGUAAAGAGCGUGUAGGCAGGUAUGCAAGUUUGGCGUGAAAGCUCCCGGCUAAACUGGGAGAGUGCGCUGAAGACUGCGUAUCUAGAGGCGAGUAGAGGGACGUGGAAUUCCGGGUGUAGUGGUGAAAUGCGUAGAGAUCCGGAGGAACACCAGUGGCGAAGGCGACGUCCUGGGCUUGACCUGACGCUGAGACGCGACAGCACGGGGAGCGAA
rnacentral:rRNA from 1 species